AUUGAACGCUGGCGGCAUGCCUUACACAUGCAAGUCGAACGGCAGCACGGGUGCUUGCACCUGGUGGCGAGUGGCGAACGGGUGAGAAAUACAUCGGAACGUACCUUAUCGUGGGGGAUAACGCAGCGAAAGUUGCGCUAAUACCGCAUACGCCCUGAGGGGGGAAGCGGGGGACCGUAAGGCCUCGCGCGAUGAGAGCGGCCGAUUUCUGAUUAGCUUGUUGGUGGGGUAAAAGCUCACCACGUCGAUGAUCAGUAGCUGGUCUGAGAGGACGCUCAGCCACACGUGGACUGAGACACGGCCCAGACUCCUACGGGAGGCAGCAGUGGGGAAUUUUGGACAAUGGGGGCAACCCUGAUCCAGCAAUGCCGCGUGAGUGAAGAAGGCCUUCGGGUUGUAAAGCUCUUUUGUCAGGGAAGAAACAGCAGCUCUAACACAGUCUGCGAAUGACGGUACCUGAAGAAUAAGCACCGGCUAACUACGUGCCAGCAGCCGCGGUAA
rnacentral:rRNA from 1 species